rnacentral:tRNA from 1 species
ACCUCUUAUAGCUCAGCUGGAAGAGCGUGGGACUGUAAUUGAAAGUUGUUAUCCCAAGGUCCGCGGUUCGAUCCCGCGUGAGAGGAU